rnacentral:pre_miRNA from 1 species
CAAAUACUCCCUCCGUCCGGAAAUACUUGUCAUCAAAAUGGAUAAAAGGAAAUGUAUCUAGACGUAUUUUAGUUUUAGAUACAUCUCUUUUUAUCCAUUUUCAUGACAAGUAUUUUCAGACGGAGGGAGUAGAAA